CGCUCAUUCGUACGAAGUGCCGUGUAGCCGACGCGCGUCGUUUUUGUUUGGUGCGCAGAUAACGAAUUUUGACCUACAAAAUGAGAACAUAUAAGAGAAAAACCACGAGAUCUGAUGUACCCCAAAACAUAGUGGAAAGAGCUUGCCAUAAUGUGUGUCCAAAGUAAAACAAAACCAAGAAAGCUCAGCCUGCUACCAUUGAAAAUAUACAGUUUGGUUUUAUAAUAUCCGGUAUAUCACCACUCAAUGAAAACAUAUUUCCCGAAUCGGAGUUUAGUGGAGCUUAUGUGAUGGAUAGGCCAGUGCCAGUAUCACAAGAUGUUGCUGGUUCUUCGACGGCUAGGAUGAACAUAAAUCAGAACGUAAAUGCCAUACCAUCAGUGCCAGAAUAGAAUAUCGACAGUGCUGGGUCUUCCAGAGCUGAACAUUUGAUCACCCUUCCAAAUUCUGCUGUAUAUAUAUUCAAUAAUAUGGUUAACAUUGUCAACACUUCUGAUCAUCAUAAUGAAAUUACUGCAGAAGAACCAAUUGUUUCAAGUGAAUCGACUACUGCUUUGCCAUUACGCUCAAGAUCCACUAGUACUAAUUGCGAAUCACCUUCAAUUCUUGAACAGAUGAGUCAGGAGAAGAGCUCAGUAUACAAACACCCGAAAGUGAAUAUCAAUUGGAAAAACACCAAAGAGUGACUCCACCGCCUUCAACUUCUGAAACCCCUUUUACUUCUUUUAUUCAUCCAACAGACAUAAUGCCCUUUCCGAAAGCUCUCAACUUGUUUAGAAAAUCGAAGAAAUAUACGCAAACGUAAAAGUACUAUUUAUACACAUGCCUGAAAAAGAAAAA